CCCGUCACCUGAGGUACAGAGUAAGUUGUGAAGUCCCGCGGUGGCGAUUAUCGUAAUAUUUCCCAUCCAUCCGUGCGUCAGGAGGGCUGCGGGUCGUGUGCCUCGGCCGCGGACAGCCCCGUGAUGGUCAGCCCUCCAAGUGUGCUCGUCUUAGCAAGGCCUUCCUCUCCCAGACGACCAAAACGCAGAGGGAGGUGUUCCACGCGCCCUUCUUCACCACCUGGUUCUGCACGGCCUGGAUGGGGCUCUUCUGCCCGCUCUGCCUCGCCUGCCACUCCUGCUUCCGGAGGGACAAGGACUCACUCAAGGUCUCCCUCAAAACCAUCGCGCAGAACUUCAGGGACCGCGGCGUCACUUUCAGUAAGUUGAGAGAGAGAGAGAGAGAGAUCAUUUCUGGCUGCGCGUUGUAAU